rnacentral:rRNA from 1 species
AAGCGUCCGUAGCCGGCCGGACAAGUCCGUUGGGAAAUCCGUUCGCUCAACGAACGGGCGUCCAGCGGAAACUGUCCGGCUUGGGACCGGAAGACCCGAGGGGUACGUCCGGGGUAGGAGUGAAAUCCUGUAAUCCUGGACGGACCGCCGGUGGCGAAAGCGCCUCGGGAAGACGGAUCCGACGGUGAGGGACGAAAGCCAGGGUCUCGAACCGGAUUAGAUACCCGGGUAGUCCUGGCUGUAAACGAUGCCCGCUAGGUGUGGCGCAGGCUACGAGCCUGCGCUGUGCCGUAGGGAAGCCGUGAAGCGGGCCGCCUGGGAAGUACGUCUGCAAGGAUGAAACUUAAAGGAAUUGGCGGGGGAGCACUACAACCGGAGGAGCCUGCGGUUUAAUUGGACUCAACGCCGGACAUCUCACCAGCCCCGACAGUAGUCAUGACGGUCAGGUUGACGACCUUACUCGACGCUACUGAGAGGAGGUGCAUGGCCGCCGUCAGCUCGUACCGUGAGGCGUCCUGUUAAGUCAGGCAACGAGCGAGACCCGCACCCCUAGUUGCCAGCGGUACCCACGAGGUAGCCGGGUACACUAGGGGGACUGCCGCUGCCAAAGCGGAGGAAGGAACGGGCAACGGUAGGUCAGUAUGCCCCGAAUGGGCUGGGCCACACGCGGGCUACAAUGGCCGGGACAGUAGGAUGCGACCCCGAGAGGGGAAGCUAAUCUCCUAAACCCGGUCGUAGUUCGGAUCGAGGGCUGAAACUCGCCCUCGUGAAGCUGGAUUCGG